rnacentral:rRNA from 1 species
GACGAACGCUGGCGGCGUGCCUAAUACAUGCAAGUCGAACGCAGUGGGGACGGGUGAGUAACACGUGGGUAACCUCCCAUCAGAGGGGAUAACACUUGGAAACAGGUGCUAAACCGAUACUGAUGGAUGGACCCGCGUGGGAGUAGCUAGUUGGUGAGGUAACGGCUCACCAAGGCCACGAUUCAUAGAGGGCCUGAGAGGGUGAGCGGCCACACUGGGACUGAGACACGGCCCGGACUCCUACGGGAGGCAGCAGUAGGGAAUGUUCGGCAAUGGACGAAAGUCGGACCGAGCAACGCCGCGUGAGUGAAGAAGGUGUUCGGAUCGUAAAGCUCUUUUGUUCGAGAAGCGGUAUCUAACCAGAAAGCCACGGCUAACUACGUGCCAGCAGCCGCGGUAAUAC